UGGCCCUUUAUGCAAAAGGACUGAACAUCUGAACACAGUGAAUCUACCAGACAGCUCAUAUUAGUGGAAAGAUGAACCAGCAUGGGAGUCCAAAGCAGUAAUUUUAUACUGAACAAGUGGUGAUGGAGCUACUGAAACCUCUUUUCUUCUUUUUACUCAACUUCCGUUCGCUCCAGUUGUGUUCAUUACUCUGGUCAUUGAGUACCUCUUCUACCACUACCUGAGCAGAAUCACAGAAUGGUUGAGGUUGAAAGAGACCUCUGGAGGUCAUCUUGUCCAAUCCACCUUUUCGAGCAAGGUCACCCAGAGCACUUUGCCCAGGAUAUGUCCAGAUGGCUUGUGAAUAUCUCCAAGAAUGGAGACUCUACAACUUCACCUGUGCCAGUGCUCUGUCAUCUUCACUUCUCAGAUUUAAAGUAUACAAGUUUUGAAGUCCUGCACAUGCUCAAAAGCACCUGAGGCCUGAUAAAGCUAUGUGGCUAGAAACCAAGUCCAUGACCAAAUCCCCACAAAAGCUGCCCACCAGGAGAGCCUUUGCCAGAGGAAUCCAGCUGGAAAAGGGAUCUCCAUGCCACUGUCAUCUGAGUUUGUUGUCCAGGACUGAGUGAAAGUCUGCACACGAAAAACUGAAAAACAUGUAGGAGAAUGCAUGUGGAGCACCUUUACUUACAGUAAAAUGGGUCUUUCUACAAUACUGCUGAAAAGUGUUGGGAAGGGUACAUGGACCACAAAGGCUGUUUAACAAUGCAAUGGUAAAUUAGUUAAACUCUACUGGGUGUGUUACAAAUCUAAGUAGUAGAUUAGAUGUCAAGUUUAUUGCACAAUGGGAUUAAUUCCCAAACUUUUCAUACUGCUGCUUAUCUCCUGUGAGCACCUGCCCCAUCGGGCAGGGCUUCCAAGGUAAUUUGUGUGAAAGGAAAACAGCAUGAGCUGUGGCAUUGGAGGAGCUAUCAGAUGUUCAUGAGCUGCCACAGUCCUUAACUAAUCCUCAUUUUUUUGCUUCCAGGCUGCAGAGCCUGGAAAAUCGGGAGAUUUUAUCAAUGAAGGUCAAACUGUUGAGGUUUUAAACCUCAGGAGGCUGAAGAGCAAAAUUAUUUUUAUGGUGGCAAUCUGAAUAUCCAAAGUAACAGGUAAACUCUUGCAUGGGAACAGAAAAACAAUUAUGUCCUUAUCUGGUGCAGUGUGACAAAACAUUGGUUACAGCCUGUGAUUUCAAUUUAAAUUAUUUGGGAAAUUGGGCUCAAGACAUGCAAGCACUAGUAGGAGAUGCUAUGCAUGUUAUGCUGCCUCUUUUCAACUUGGAGGCAGGAACAGCUAUUUGCUCUCAUGGUGGGUGUCUAUAUGAAGCUAUUUGCAGCAUUAUUCUGAGGAAGGAUAAACUUCUCUGCAGCUGAGUUUGGAGACUACCACUUCUUUCCUUAUAUGACCUACUUCCAAAACUUUGCUUUUGUUUUAAUUAGGCAAAAAAUAUACGUAUGUGAAUACAAUUCUGGCUCUUGACAGCAACAGUUCUCUGUUGCUACUACAGUUGGAAAGUGGCAUACUCAACAGCAUUCAGUUUAACUUGGUAACUUGCUCAAGGAAGUGGGUCUUAAGACAAGUGCUUUCAUGUAAUGUCAGAGCACAGGAUGAGUUUCACCAACUGGAGCACAUGUCAACUGUGGCAUCAAGAUGACUUUCCUUUAAGAUCUGUCAUAUUUUGCACACAUUUUGUUCUGCUUGUUUUUAAUAGUUUCUUCUGCAUGCUUUCUAACUGUGGAUGAGGAGAGCCUCACCUGUACUCUUGGGGAAAAAAAAAAGACUGAAAUUCUCAUUUUUGUUGCAUAUGAAGGACAUGUGAAUCUCUAAAUCUCACUCAUAGAUGAGAAGCUGGUUAGUGUUCGAUACUAUGAAGAGAGGUUUCCAUUGAGGAGCUUGGACUAAAACAUGGCUGUGGGUUGAGCCCACCUCUGACCCACAAAAACAAACAAACAAACAAACAAACAAAAAAAGACAGAGGCAAUAGGCAAUAGGAGGCAAUAGGAAGAUCUUAGAAGAACUAGAAAUAAAAUAAAUUAAGGUUUACUUGCUUUAUUUAUUUUAUUUUUUUUUGAUUAUUACGCAGGAUCUGCAUGAAAUACUGAUGGCUCAUUUUCAAUCAGUACUUGAGAUAAAUGCCACUGCUAUGUAAUGACUCUUCCUUUCUUUCUGAGAGAUCCUAAGGUGAACUAGUUAACAUCUUCUCUAUGGACGGAGACCUUUAGAAGACUGUUAGCUGUCAUAAAUGCACUCAUGAAUACUUGGGACAUUCGAGAGCAGAUGUAAACUCCGAUGUACCAGAAUUCACACAGCUUCUGUCUUCUACACAAUAUUGUUGAAGAGUGCUUCACAAGAGUCUUGCUGACAGUGGGCUAGCUGGAGAGGCUUAGACCUGAGCUGGCAGAGAAACCUCUCUAUUCCUGUGAAUUUCUCAUUGGAGAACUGAAGAUGACUGCUAGAAAAUGACCACAAAAAACAGUAUGAAAAAGGCAAAGUGAAUUUAUCUACAAAAGCUCACCAUGACUCGCAAUGACAGAUACCAACCCCAGCAAUCAAUAAUAUACAGUGGAAAUACCAAUGGACUCCUCAGAACAGCCCUGCUAGUGGCACCACUCUUUACUGCUAUUGAAAUGAAUUCAAAGGAGCUGGGCUUUUGCUCUCAAAUCAUGCAUUAUGUUAUCACUUUUCUAUUCUCACAUCAUUUAUUUAAAAGCAAUUGUUUCCUUGAUUCACAGCUAUCCACACAUACGUGAUAUGAAACAUUACGUGCCAUAUUUUAUCUCUCCCUGGGUAUAAGUCUACAAUGUGUUGAUGUUGAUGUGAGAUGAGGAUGCUCAGCACUUCAACAAAACCAGGCCCUAAGUAAAAGGCGAAUGCAAUGUUUCAACAAGUACAAGUAACAAAUGGACAUGGUGAAGGUGGUGAUUAAAGACCAUUGUAAGUACACUUUGGGGUUCUGAUGUUGCAGUACUAGCCUGCUUCUAUUUUACUCUUGCGGCUCAUUUCUUCGCAGAAUACCUCUUGUCACUUACUGUUAAUGUUUCCUGCUGAUCUUUUACAUACUGUUUUUAUUUAGUGAUUCUUGACCAAGGGAAGAAUUCUGUGUGCAGUGGCACAGGCUAGAGCGCUGACCUCUGCAGCACUGAGUGUUCUGACUUCCUUCCUCCUCCACCAAAUUUUGCAGUGGGGAAGGCACUCAGCCCUGUUUAGCAGACACUGAGUGGCACUCACCUCACCUAACGUGGAGGUAGAGAGCUACUCAUCAGCUGUUCGCUCUCAUCCACCUUGUAGCUGAUGGGAAGAAAGAGGCACCUCUAGGCUGUGGUUCAUCUUACCUAUCUUACAUAUCAAGGAUAAUGUGAAUUGAGGCCUGAUAGUGCCUCAUGCUAUGGUGACUCAUUCAGUUAUAACUGCGUACACUGUACAUAUCUACAUUUGCUCAGCUGCAUCCCAUGUCUCGAUACUUCUCUCAGUAUGACCUUAAGUCCAGGGUAAUUCCAGCUCAAGCCAUUUUCAGGAUUUAUACAAAUUGCCUCAAGCCUUUUUUCCACUUAUCUUGAAGGCACUUUGAUAAAUGUCCACAUUCAAGGAUUUUAAAAAAAUAACUGAAAUCACCUCUUUACAAUGCUAUAUUCACCACACACUACAGCAGUUCAUUUGGAUUUCACUUACAUUAAUAUUUGGGUAUCAGCAGGAAGCGGCGUUUCGCAAAUAUGAUUUGGCAAUGUGUUCAUGAUCUUCUGCAUGGAUUCAUUCACUACAAAAAAAGAGAAAAGAUUGUUUUACAGAUAAAAAGUUGUCAUGUCACAAACCAAAAUGAAGGAAGUUCUUUUGUUACAAACUGAGAUGUUAAGUGAUUUGUUUGGUGUUCCUGCCUUAAAUAGUCUGAGCUUCCCUUAAAAAAUAAAAUGUGAAAUUCACUGUUAGUUUCUUUAAUACUGUCUGACUAAGAAGUCACAGAGCCUCUUACAUUGAAUCCUGUCCUUUGAAUCGUUUUUUUUUUUUUUUUUUACUAUUGUAUAUUUUGCAAAUUCAGACCUUUAUCACCAACCAAAUAAAUCUCUCAUUUUGACAAUAGAAAAUCUAGCUCCAAAUCUGAAUUUUGUAGUUUGGGUUUCCUUCUACUUCCUGUCUGAGAGCAUAGUUACGGCAACUAUUUGCACAAGUUCGUAUCUAAUUGAAAUGCUGUUGACAUGUGUAUGUGCUAAACAAAGGAAUGUAAUAAAAAUUUAUGAGUUAGUUACACUUUGAAUCAAUAAAGUGUUAAAGAAUUAAAAAGAGCUCAUUUUUU